UUCGGCCGGUGAGAUGCCGUCGCCAGAAACUGACACCCCUUGAACAAACAAACCGAAGGGACAACCCCUCAAAAGCAGAAAGGGAGAUUACACGGCCGGUUAUACGCCGUCGCCGUGAACAUCCCUUCUGUCUACCAAAAACCAUUGAUAUCUAGAAAGUCAUUUCUGAAAACAGCUCUGCUCUCCACCCGUGUGCUGCUCUGGACGAGACUGCAGAGCUGCAAAACUCAUAUAGAAAUGAAUGGUCGAUGUUAAAUUAU
rnacentral:lncRNA from 1 species